ACAGUCCUGCUAUCUCUGCUCUCUACCCUAAACCUUCACCACAGCUCUGUUCUUCAUGACUUUAUCACCUGGUGUGAGGGCGCCUGUCUCCAGCUGAACUCAACAAAAACUAAAGAGGUGAUUGUGACAUUCUCCAGCAAGCAGAGACAACUGGCAGAGGCCAUCACUACCUUCAUCUGGGGGGAACCUGUAGAGGUGGUGGAGGAAUACAGGAUCCUACAUGACCCCUCACACACUCUCCCAUCAGGCCGCUGGCUGCGCUGUCCACGCUGCAGAACACAAAGGAGGAGGGCCACCUUUGUCCCCGCAGCAGUCCAGCUUCUGAACUCUGACUCUUCCCUGUCCCAACAUCACUGACUCUCAACUGACUGAAUGCACACAGCACACAGCAGUUUAUCAUAACGCACUUUGACUGUGACGGUCACUGAAAAUACUGACUAUAGCACUUUAUGUGAUUUGAUGUUGAUAUUCUGUUGGUCCAUUUUUCCUCAUGCCUUUUCAGUUGCCCCUUGGGGACAAAUAAAAUGUUUUGAAUUGAAUUGAAUUUGUCUAUUGGUUUUAGAACCUCUACAUCGUCAAAAUAAAGUUGUAUCUGUAAGGAAACAAACUGUG